CCUCACUUCCUAUUGUCUAUGAAUAUUUGUUUUUUUAAUUAUUUGUUCAGUGGAAUUGAACUAAAAAAACAAGCAGACGUUUCGUUUUGUAUGGAAGCAUCGGUGUUAGCUGCCUCUGGGAAGUUAGUGAAGAAAUAUUUCUGGGUGGUGUUUUUCCCAACAUUCACGACAGGCACCAUCUGGGCUGACUGGCAACGCACCAGGAAGUGGAAACUUCAAAAGGCUGCUGCAUUGAAAAAUAAUUGGGAAUAAUCUAGAAACUGCAACAUGGCUAAUUUGUUUGGAUUCACAAAGCAGUGGUUCUUGGUAGUGAUCCCGAUGACCGGGUAUGGAAUCGGCUGGUUCUUGGACCGCAAAGAGACUGAGCGCAUGACGAUGUUCAGGGACAAGAGCGCUCUGUACGGUCGAGAGUUGCAGCCCGGGGAAGCACCAUCAUGGCCCUGAACAAUUAAUUGACUGUGUAAAGCUGUGUAUUUAUAUUGUCCAAAUUUAGUCUAUUAAACACUGUAAAUAAAGUUAUUGAUUGAA